UAACACGUAUCCAACCUUCCGUUUACUCAGGGAUAGCCUUUCGAAAGAAAGAUUAAUACCUGAUAGUAUGGUGAGAUUGCAUGAUAGCACCAUUAAAGAUUUAUUGGUAAACGAUGGGGAUGCGUUCCAUUAGGUAGUAGGCGGGGUAACGGCCCACCUAGCCGACGAUGGAUAGGGGUUCUGAGAGGAAGGUCCCCCACAUUGGAACUGAGACACGGUCCAAACUCCUACGGGAGGCAGCAGUGAGGAAUAUUGGUCAAUGGGCGAGAGCCUGAACCAGCCAAGUAGCGUGAAGGAUGAAGGUCCUACGGACUGUAAACUUCUUUUAUACGGGAAUAAAGUAUCCUACGUGUAGGAUUUUGUAUGUACCGUAUGAAUAAGCAUCGGCUAACUCCGUGCCAGCAGCCGCGGUAAUACGGAGGAUGCGAGCGUUAUCCGGAUUUAUUGGGUUUAAAGGGAGCGCAGACGGGAGAUUAAGUCAGUUGUGAAAGUUUGCGGCUCAACCGUAAAAUUGCAGUUAAUACUAGUUUCCUUGAGUGCAGUUGAGGCAGGCGGAAUUCGUGGUGUAGCGGUGAAAUGCUUAGAUAUCACGAAGAACCCCGAUUGCGAAGGCAGCUUGCUAAACUGUAACUGACGUUCAUGCUCGAAAGUGUGGGUAUCAAACAGGAUUAGAUACCCUGGUAGUCCACACGGUAAACGAUGGAUACUCGCUGU
rnacentral:rRNA from 1 species